CCUACGGGCGGCAGCAGUGAGGAAUAUUGGUCAAUGGACGAGAGUCUGAACCAGCCAAGUAGCGUGAAGGAUGACUGCCCUAUGGGUUGUAAACUUCUUUUAUAUGGGAAUAAAACGUUCCACGUGUGGGAUUUUGUAUGUACCAUAUGAAUAAGGAUCGGCUAACUCCGUGCCAGCAGCCGCGGUAAUACGGAGGAUCCGAGCGUUAUCCGGAUUUAUUGGGUUCAAAGGGAGCGUAGGUGGAUUGUUAAGUCAGUUGUGAAAGUUUGCGGCUCAACCGUAAAAUUGCAGUUGAAACUGGCAGUCUUGAGUACAGUAGAGGUGGGCGGAAUUCGUGGUGUAGCGGUGAAAUGCUUAGAUAUCACGAAGAACUCCGAUUGCGAAGACAGUUCACUGGACUGCAACUGACACUGAGGCUCGAAAGUGUGGGUAUCAAACAGGAUUAGAUACCCCUGUAGUC
rnacentral:rRNA from 1 species